AAGAAAAGACAAAAAC
rnacentral:sRNA from 1 species